rnacentral:tRNA from 1 species
UCUAUCAAAGGAGAAU